rnacentral:lncRNA from 1 species
UGCUAGUCUCAUGACAGUGAAUAAAUCUCAUGAGAUCUGAUGGGUUUAUCACGGGUCUCUGCUUUUGCUUCUUCCUCAUUUUCUCUUGCUGCCACCAUUUAAGAAGUGCCUUUUGCCUCUCGCCAUGAUUCUGAAGCUUCCCCAGCCAUGUGGAACUAUCUUACGUCAUGCUCAUCCUGGAGAGUGGGAAGAGGAGGCCCUUCUCAUGUUACUUUGUUGUGUCAUCACUUAUAAGAUUAGAACUUGCCAUCAUUGCUUAAACAUUCAACCACUAGCUUUAAACACUUUAAGCUAAGUUAAAAAAAAAUCACCACAAGUUCAGUUUUAAAAAAUCGUUUUCCAUUUUACAGUUACUCAAACAAAAGAAAUGAAAAUUUGAGUGACUUAAUUUUGAUCUCCUUCCAAGGGUGAGCAGAGGCUGACAAUGAAGUCAUUACUAAGCUCCAGAAUUUUCCCUGUUGUGGGAUCAAGCUGGGACCUCAGGCCAGGAGGAAGGACUCACUGAUUCGAGUUUCUGUGUGUCCCAUUUGACCGCCUGGCUUCAUGAAGACCAGACAGCGGGAGUCACAGAGUCAGUGGCCCUGAAAACACAGACCACUUGAUAUUUCCUUCUUUGAUUUUCCGUAGCUACUGACAGAAGAGAAUUCAAGCUUCCAGCACCACCUUCAGAAGGUACCACUGGAGUGAGCCACUCUAGACCACAGCCCCAGAUCCAGUUUCAGACAAAUGUUUUCCCUCUGUAACCACUGCUGCAGAUCCCUGGGCUGAGGAAGAUGAAACGUGAUCACUAGUCUACAGGAUGCACAUCUAGGAAGAGCUUCUCUCAGUAUCCUAUUCCCGCCCGAAACACGAGCCUCUCUCAGCUGCACAUGGGUGGGUUAGCCACCCUGGGGAUCCUCGAACCCAAGAAGGGACAAAAAUGGGUCACCAGGACCUGCCCUUCCACUGAACUGGGGCCACAGGCUCUCGCGUCAUGUGUGGGAUGGCACCAGAGUUGGGAGGGUCUUUACUGAAGGGACAUGGGCAAAAACCAAGUGGAAGACAGGUUCCGACAAGAUUCUUCCACUUGAAAGAAACUUAUCAGGGUUCAGAACAGGGUAUCUCCACCUCCCAGGUGACUACUGGUUUUUUGUUUUGUUUUGUUUUGUUUUGUUUCUUUUUUUUUUUUUUCUUUUUGACAUGGAGUCUUGCUCCUGUCGCACACGCUGGUGGAGUGCGAUGGUGCGAUCUCGGCUCACCGCAACCUCCCCCUCGCAGGUUCAAGUGAUUCUCCUUCCUAAGCCUCCCGAGUAGCUGGGAUUACAGGCUUGCACCACCACGCCCAGCUAAUUUUUGUAUUUUUAGUAGAGACAGGGUUUCAUCAUGUUGGCCAGGCUGGUCUCGAAUUCCUGACCUCAGGUCAUCCACCUGCCUCGGCCUCCCAAACCGAAGUGCUGGGAUUAUAGGCGUGAGCCACUGCAUCUGGCCCCCAGGUGACUAUUAAUACUUUUAGGUCUUAUCGUUCCUUGUCGUGGAGGGCCGCCCUCUUCACUGUAGGAUGCUUAGCAGCAUACCUGGCCCUGACCCACUAGAUACCAGCAGCAAUGUCCCAGUUGAGACCAUCAAAAAAAGUCUACAGACAUUGCCAGAUGUUCCCUGGUGAGGAAUGAAGGGUCACAAAAAUCACCCCACAAUGAGAACGACUGGUAUAGGAGAUGCCCCUAAUGUUACAGGGACUGGUGUUGGACAGGACAAUAACGCUUACCUACUUUUCAACUUUUUAACUAGUAGCUGCUAUGCGGUGCCCAAAGAAAUAAUCCACUGGAUUCAUAGUUCAGUAAAUUAUCUCUCCAUUUUCAAAGAAAAUGAGGGCUGAGAGCUGUCUAUGCAUCCAUUCAACACAGAGCAGGUGAGGCUGAGUUUUAGCAAGCAAUUUCACCAACAGAGCCUCCCAAGGUACUAAAUCCCACAACAGAGAGGCUGCUUCUGAUACAAAAUGUAUCUUUAUGGGGAAAAUUGCAUCAGAAUAGUUCAUAUGAAAAGGCCAAACUGCAUGAUUCAUUUUGGAAGAGUAUUUCUAAAAGUGAGCCCUAUUUUAAAAAUUCACAUUUUUAUUUUUAUCCAGGACUCUGAUAGUUCCACUAGAGAUCAAUGAUUCGUUCUCAGAGGGGAAAUAAGAAGCUGUUGAAUCUUGGUCUUCUAUUGCUUGAAACCAUUCCACCUCUGUGAACUCAUUUCAUAUUUUAAGCUCCCAAAAAAGACUAAAAAAUUUAACAAACUCCCAUGUGACCACAUAUUGCUAAUAGAACAACUUAUAAUUUUUAAAAUGUCCACCUUUCUGAAAAGAUACUUAGUAUCAUCCGCCAUAGGAUAGGUUUCAGUGCAGUUCCGUCCCAAUUUUGAGCUCAUCCAAAACGUUCAUAUAUAUGUAUUAAUUUAUCUGAAAUAUUUUCAUUGAGACUACUUUAUUCCAGAAAUUAUCCUAAGCAUUGGGAAUGAUUCUUUGGCUAAAAGGCAUGAGAAAGCCUACAUAAGUCUGACAGUUCCAUAGAAGAUACACUCAGCUAACUGGAAACUGAAAUCUUAUGCUACAAGGUCUAUGGCUGGGAGUGCAGGGUGCUUCUGUGUGGAAAGCACAUAACCUAGACCCAGGGCCAUGCAAGGAUCCCCGUGGGCACAAGAAAACCCUGGCAAGAUAACAGCAAGGAAGAUUGUGCUACGCAGAGGCACAUGCAAGCCCCACAUCAUAAAGGAAUUGCUACUCUGUGGUCUCACAUGUAACUACAGGACUGGCAUGCCUGAUGUAUUAGCCUGGAAGAUUCACCCCUGUCCUAGGGGAAACACAGAAGGGAGGAUCAUGUGCAAUGAGGAUGGUGGUGAGAAUGACCCCCUCCUGGCUCAGGUGCAGUGUCUUACCAAGAAUGAAAGGCAACCUAUGUAAAAACUAUGGGCUUUCUAGUAUAAAUAAAAACUACUCAUCUCCAGAAAAUAAACAAUGACUGCUAAGAUGAUUGAAAAAAGAAAGGAGAAGAAAGUAGCUUGUAAAAGCGUGUGAAAUGCAUUCACGUUGGAAUCUCCUACAGGCACUUCAGGUCUUCAGACUGUAAACAUUUUAAGUGUGAUUGCUGUGAAUGAAGGAAACCCAGAGCCAUCAUGACAAGCCUAAACUCAAAGGGGACUGAUUUCUUCUACACUGAAUGUUUCAUUAGUGACAGGGCCCAGAUAAUAAAGAAUUGUGCUCACUUCCUGUGAGUGAUGGCUUUCCCUCAAUUGUAUGCUGAGUAACAUUUACAGUAUUCAUUUUUAAGCACCCAUCUUCCUGGGAGCCCUAUUUCCCCUAAGCUUUCAAUUGAUCCUCCUAAGAGCAGAGAUCACUUAGGCACUGAGCUAUGCAGCUGCUGCCUGAGUCUCCUGGACGCCUGCCCUCACCUCCAGCCACAUGAAAAACAUUCAAGCUUUAACUUCAGAAAUGUUCUCUAACCCACUCCCAGACACCCAACUGAUUAAAUCAUAGAUUAGAGGAAAAAAUUCUUGCCUGAAAUUGUCAUCUUGCACGUAUGCUGAUGUCCAGAAGGACACAUCCUGGUGGGAAGUGACUGCAUGUUUUGUUCAUAUUACAAGUCCUGUUGACAAAAGAGAAUAAUACAGGUGUCCUCCUGAAACUGUCACCACAGUGACCUUCCUCAGUCAAAAAGAAAUAUAAAUAUUAUUGUGUUUCUCGUGUCUGAGGCACCUCUGAAAGCAUUUAUCUUUUCAGAGAGUUCAGCACUUCAUCUCACGGGUUAAUUAAACCAACCUGUAGUGGCAAAGUUUAGUGGUAGUGAAAAUAAACAUAAUCCUCUUUCUGUUGCCCAACCUUUCAGUUUCAUUUUGUAAUUUUUCAAUACAGGGGCACAAUAAGUGAUAAUCCUGGAUUCCAAAUGAUUUCCACUUCUUUCUCUGCCACCUUCCCUGCCCCAACACCUGCCAUCCCUCAUUUACACAAUUCAAGUAAUCAAGGGGCAGUUUGGCUCCCUUUUUCUGGAGGCAAACUUUUGCAGAGUUUUAACUUACUCAGUGGGAAGAAAAGCCCCCAAAACACUGAAGCAUACCAAGCAAAUAAAUAAAUAAAUGCACAAAGGCUCCCUGCGGUUGUCUGACGAGGAUACUGGAGCAAGCAGCCUGAAGAACAAACGUCUGACUGUUGAAACAGCGAGACAGGAAUAAACCCAUGGGGCCACAUCUGGGAGUGUGAGUGUGUGAAUGGAACUAAGCUGGUCUCCCACACAACAGGAAUUCCACCAAAAGUAUGCGCUCUGUAUGGGAGGACAGAAAAAAAAUGUGUUUAAAAUAUCACUAAGGAAACCCAGAUACAUUAUCUCUGCCAGACUACAGAAGACAGUACAGUUAGUGCUUGUCUCAAAAUGACAGAAACAGAGAACAUGCUUUGAUGAUGUCGAAGAUGCAGGAAAAUAGAAAAAUAAAAACGGUGGAAAGAUUUUUUUUUAAUGCCCUAAAAUGAGCAAGACGCCUCCCUUUUCAUAGCACCAGGAGACAUUUCCAUUGCUUUUUUUUCAUGCUUGUGGCUUUUUGAGGGCAAAGAGUAAGUGAAAUCCAAUAAUUUGGUCUUUCUGCUCCAAAGUUUUGGCUGCCAUAAACUUAUUGUUCGAAUAUCAGAAUGGUUGUUCCUGCUUUGACGCCUGUGAAACAAUUUGUUUCAAUAUCAUAGCACAGUUUUAAAAGUAUGUUUUGACUCCAGAAAUAUGUUUGACCUCAGAAUUUUGAAAGCGUGUUUUGACCUUUAAACUCUUACUUCAAGAAGACAUAUGUGUGCAUGUGUGUGUUUGUAGGGUGUGUGUGUGUGUCUUGUAGAAUCUCACAUUUUAUUCAGUAGCUUAGCUCCAUUUCAAUGCCAGUUAAAUUUUAGCAUUAUAAUAAUACAAUGAAUUACUCUCUAAAAAUAGGUUGAAAUGUAUUUCUAUUUGUGAAGUUUAGGCAAAUGACACCAUCUGCAAUAUCCUUUAACAGAUUAGCUAUUGUAAAGGCAUCAUCUUUAGGAAUAAUACUUUUCUGCAUCAUAAUAAUUUCCUGUUAUUCCUAAGGCAAGUGCUGGAUGAUUGUUGUUUCAGUGUGGAUCAGCCUGACUUCAAUCCAUCUGUGCUUCCCAGGGCCGACUCCUGAAUUCCUCCUCCAUGCCAUCAUACCUUAUUGGCUCUCCUGCUGUUACGUUCAGUCAUAAUGUUAAAAACUCAGACUAUUAAAAUGUAAAGAUAUGAAUUCUUUUUGAAAUUGUCAACAUGGAAGAGUCUAUCUACAGUCUGCUUUUAAUUUAGCCGCAAAAUGACUUAGCUGAUGCAACAAUUUCACAUGCUGAGGAAGAGUUUUCGAUUGCCGAAUUAGUGUGAUAAAGUGAUGGUGAGGUUUUCUGUUGACUCUGGAAGCAACAACAAAAAUGGUGGUGCUCUUCUCCAUACCCAUGUUCAUAGAUAUAUCGUUACAGAUGACACUCAAACUUUGAUUUUUUUUCUUUUUUGGCUGACUGCUUGAAACACAUGUAGCCCCAGGAAACAAGUAGAGCCACCCCAGGGAACUAAAAAACAA